rnacentral:rRNA from 1 species
AUUGAACGCUGGCGGCAUGCCUUACACAUGCAAGUCGAACGGCAGCACGGGAGCAAUCCUGGUGGCGAGUGGCGAACGGGUGAGUAAUAUAUCGGAACGUGCCCAGUCGUGGGGGAUAACGUAGCGAAAGCUACGCUAAUACCGCAUACGAUCUAUGGAUGAAAGCGGGGGAUCGCAAGACCUCGCGCGAUUGGAGCGGCCGAUAUCAGAUUAGGUAGUUGGUGAGGUAAAGGGGCUCACCAAGCCGACGAUCUGUAGCUGGUCUGAGAGGACGACCAGCCACACUGGGACUGAGACACGGCCCAGACUCCUACGGAGGCAGCAGUGGGGGAAUUUUUGGGACAAUGGGCGCAAGCCUGAUCCAGCAAUGCCGCGUGCAGGAUGAAGGCCUUC